rnacentral:sRNA from 1 species
UCUCGUAGUCCACGAAAGCCACGCACAGU